rnacentral:rRNA from 1 species
UACGUAGGUGGCAAGCGUUGUUCGGAAUUAUUGGGCGUAAAGGGCGCGUAGGCGGUUUGUUAAGUCAGCUGUGAAAGCCCGGGGCUCAACCCCGGAGGGUCAGCUGAUACUGGCAGGCUAGAGUACAGAAGAGGUAACUGGAAUUCACGGUGUAGCGGUGAAAUGCGUAGAUAUCGGGAGGAACACCUGAGGCGAAGGCGGGUUACUGGGCUGAUACUGACGCUGAUGCGCGAAAGCCAGGGGAGCAAACGGG